rnacentral:rRNA from 1 species
UGGGGAAUCAUAGACAAUGGGGGCAACCCUGAUCUUGCCAUGCCGCGUGGACGAUGAAGGCCUUAGGGUUGUAAAGUCCUUUCACCGGUGAAGAUGAUGACGGUAGCCGGAGAAGAAGCCCCGGCUAACUCCGUGCCAGCAGCCGCGGUAAUACGGAGGGGGCUAGCGUUGUUCGGAAUUACUGGGCGUAAAGCGCACGUAGGCGGAUUGUUAAGUCGGGGGUGAAAUCCCGGGGCUCAACCCCGGAACGGCCUUCGAUACUGGCAGUCUUGAGGACGGUAGAGGCUAGUGGAAUGGCGAGUGUAGAGGUGAAAUUCGUAGAUAUUCGCCGGAACACCAGUGGCGAAGGCGACUGGCUGGACCGUUUCUGACGCUGAGGUGCGAAAGCGUGGGGAGCAAA